UGCCCCAUGGUGUAAUGGUAGCACAGCUGGUUUUGAUCCAGUCGGUCCAAGUUCAAAUCUCGGUGGGGUAA
rnacentral:tRNA from 1 species